rnacentral:rRNA from 1 species
UACGUAGGGGGCUAGCGUUGUCCGGAUUUAUUGGGCGUAAAGCGCGUGUAGGCGGCCAUGUAGGUCCGGUGUGAAAACUCGAGGCUUAACCUCGAGAUGUCAUCGGAAACCAUUUGGCUAGAGUCCGGAAGAGGAGAGUGGAAUUCCUGGUGUAGCGGUGAAAUGCGCAGAUAUCAGGAAGAACACCAAUGGCGAAGGCAGCUCUCUGGGACGGUACUGACGCUGAGACGCGAAAGCGUGGGGAGCGAACAGG